rnacentral:rRNA from 1 species
AUUGAACGCUGGCGGCAGGCCUAACACAUGCAAGUCGAACGGUAACAGGAAGAAGCUUGCUUCUUUGCUGACGAGUGGCGGACGGGUGAGUAAUGUCUGGGAAACUGCCUGAUGGAGGGGGAUAACUACUGGAAACGGUAGCUAAUACCGCAUAACGUCGCAAGACCAAAGAGGGGGACCUUCGGGCCUCUUGCCAUCGGAUGUGCCCAGAUGGGAUUAGCUAGUAGGUGGGGUAACGGCUCACCUAGGCGACGAUCCCUAGCUGGUCUGAGAGGAUGACCGGCCACACUGGAACUGAGACACGGUCCAGACUCCUACGGGAGGCAGCAGUGGGGAAUAUUGCACAAUGGGCGCAAGCCUGAUGCAGCCAUGCCGCGUGUAUGAAGAAGGCCUUCGGGUUGUAAAGUACUUUCAGCGGGGAGGAAGGGAGUAAAGUUAAUACCCUUGCUCAUUGACGUUACCCGCAGAAGAAGCACCGGCUAACUCCGUG